CGUGACGGCCAGGUCAGUAGCAGUGGUGGUUCCUCGUGGGCGAGGUGGGUGAAAGGGAGGAGCAGCCGCGGCAGGUGGUCGUCUCUCUUCACGGAAUCACACUCUAUGCAAUGGUGGAGUGCUUGCAUUGUUGGCUGGCGUUUAGCAGUUCUCUGCAAUAGUGGGUUGAUCCAUCUUUCUGUUCACAAGUUUUAUCAAGCAAUGGACUAUGCUUGGCCGCUUGAGAUAUCUAUGAUUUAUGGUGCUAUCUCAAGGAUAAUAUCUAGGUGUGUGCUAAAGCUCCUUGCGCUUGAUGAAAAUGGAGAAACAAGAGACAUAGUGGUGUACUAAGAGGUGCUUGAUAAUCUCUGGAAGAUAUAUUUCAAUAUGUGUAGGAUCAGGACUAUGUUCAGGGGCAACCCGAAGUUCCUCCAGCAGAUGGUUAGAGAUUUUCGGUGCUAAAACGAUCUAUGAGAAAUGGAUCCCUUGCCAACAUAAUGGACUUAGGCUAGACAGAAGAACCAUAUAGACAAUGUUCUUUUCUCUGUACCUUCUAAGCUAUUGUGUUAAAGUUUACCUUCUUUAGUUUUCUUCUCUGUACUGAAUGUUGUUGUACAUGGCUGUAAGGAAGAAGUAUAUCUGAAGCCUCCCUUUCUAUUUCUUGCUUUUAUGUUGGUCCUUAUUGUAACAGAAAAGCUGCUUUAUAGUGAUCUGCUAUGUCUAUGA